rnacentral:rRNA from 1 species
AGAUUCCCCCAGUAGCGGCGAGCGAACGGGGAGCAGCCCAGAGCCUGAAUCAGUGUGUGUGUUAGUGGAAGCGUCUGGAAAGGCGUGCGAUACAGGGUGACAGCCCCGUACACAAAAAUGCACAUGCUGUGAGCUCGAUGAGUAGGGCGGGACACGUGGUAUCCUGUCUGAAUAUGGGGGGACCAUCCUCCAAGGCUAAAUACUCCUGACUGACCGAUAGUGAACCAGUACCGUGAGGGAAAGGCGAAAAGAACCCCGGCGAGGGGAGUGAAAAAGAACCUGAAACCGUGUACGUACAAGCAGUGGGAGCACGCUUAGGCGUGUGACUGCGUACCUUUUGUAUAAUGGGUCAGCGACUUAUAUUCUGUAGCAAGGUUAACCGAAUAGGGGAGCCGAAGGGAAACCGAGUCUUAACUGGGCGUUAAGUUGCAGGGUAUAGACCCGAAACCCGGUGAUCUAGCCAUGGGCAGGUUGAAGGUUGGGUAACACUAACUGGAGGACCGAACCGACUAAUGUUGAAAAAUUAGCGGAUGACUUGUGGCUGGGGGUGAAAGGCCAAUCAAACCGGGAGAUAGCUGGUUCUCCCCGAAAGCUAUUUAGGUAGCGCCUCGUGAAUUCAUCUCCGGGGGUAGAGCACUGUUUCGGCAAGGGGGUCAUCCCGACUUACCAACCCGAUGCAAACUGCGAAUACCGGAGAAUGUUAUCACGGGAGACACACGGCGGGUGCUAACGUCCGUCGUGAAGAGGGAAACAACCCAGACCGCCAGCUAAGGUCCCAAAGUCAUGGUUAAGUGGGAAACGAUGUGGGAAGGCCCAGACAGCCAGGAUGUUGGCUUAGAAGCAGCCAUCAUUUAAAGAAAGCGUAAUAGCUCACUGGUCGAGUCGGCCUGCGCGGAAGAUGUAACGGGGCUAAACCAUGCACCGAAGCUGCGGCAGCGACGCUGAUGCGUUGUUGGGUAGGGGAGCGUUCUGUAAGCCUGCGAAGGUGUGCUGUGAGGCAUGCUGGAGGUAUCAGAAGUGCGAAUGCUGACAUAAGUAACGAUAAAGCGGGUGAAAAGCCCGCUCGCCGGAAGACCAAGGGUUCCUGUCCAACGUUAAUCGGGGCAGGGUGAGUCGACCCCUAAGGCGAGGCCGAAAGGCGUAGUCGAUGGGAAACAGGUUAAUAUUCCUGUACUUGGUGUUACUGCGAAGGGGGGACGGAGAAGGCUAUGUUGGCCGGGCGACGGUUGUCCCGGUUUAAGCGUGUAGGCUGGUUUUCCAGGCAAAUCCGGAAAAUCAAGGCUGAGGCGUGAUGACGAGGCACUACGGUGCUGAAGCAACAAAUGCCCUGCUUCCAGGAAAAGCCUCUAAGCAUCAGGUAACAUCAAAUCGUACCCCAAACCGACACAGGUGGUCAGGUAGAGAAUACCAAGGCGCUUGAGAGAACUCGGGUGAAGGAACUAGGCAAAAUGGUGCCGUAACUUCGGGAGAAGGCACGCUGAUAUGUAGGUGAAGCGACUUGCUCGUGGAGCUGAAAUCAGUCGAAGAUACCAGCUGGCUGCAACUGUUUAUUAAAAACACAGCACUGUGCAAACACGAAAGUGGACGUAUACGGUGUGACGCCUGCCCGGUGCCGGAAGGUUAAUUGAUGGGGUCAGCGCAAGCGAAGCUCUUGAUCGAAGCCCCGGUAAACGGCGGCCGUAACUAUAACGGUCCUAAGGUAGCGAAAUUCCUUGUCGGGUAAGUUCCGACCUGCACGAAUGGCGUAAUGAUGGCCAGGCUGUCUCCACCCGAGACUCAGUGAAAUUGAACUCGCUGUGAAGAUGCAGUGUACCCGCGGCAAGACGGAAAGACCCCGUGAACCUUUACUAUAGCUUGACACUGAACAUUGAGCCUUGAUGUGUAGGAUAGGUGGGAGGCUUUGAAGUGUGGACGCCAGUCUGCAUGGAGCCGACCUUGAAAUACCACCCUUUAAUGUUUGAUGUUCUAACGUGGACCCGUGAUCCGGGUUGCGGACAGUGUCUGGUGGGUAGUUUGACUGGGGCGGUCUCCUCCUAAAGAGUAACGGAGGAGCACGAAGGUUGGCUAAUCCUGGUCGGACAUCAGGAGGUUAGUGCAAUGGCAUAAGCCAGCUUGACUGCGAGCGUGACGGCGCGAGCAGGUGCGAAAGCAGGUCAUAGUGAUCCGGUGGUUCUGAAUGGAAGGGCCAUCGCUCAACGGAUAAAAGGUACUCCGGGGAUAACAGGCUGAUACCGCCCAAGAGUUCAUAUCGACGGCGGUGUUUGGCACCUCGAUGUCGGCUCAUCACAUCCUGGGGCUGAAGUAGGUCCCAAGGGUAUGGCUGUUCGCCAUUUAAAGUGGUACGCGAGCUGGGUUUAGAACGUCGUGAGACAGUUCGGUCCCUAUCUGCCGUGGGCGCUGGAGAACUGAGGGGGGCUGCUCCUAGUACGAGAGGACCGGAGUGGACGCAUCACUGGUGUUCGGGUUGUCAUGCCAAUGGCACUGCCCGGUAGCUAAAUGCGGAAGAGAUAAGUGCUGAAAGCAUCUAAGCACGAAACUUGCCCCGAGAUGAGUUCUCCCUGACUCCUUGAGAGUCCUGAAGGAACGUUGAAGACGACGACGUUGAUAGGCCGGGUGUGUAAGCGCAGCGAUGCGUUGAGCUAACCGGUACUAAUGAACCGUGAGGCUUAACCUUACAACGCCGAAGGUGUUU